AUACUAUUUUGCAACUGGAAGUGAAAUCACUUAGCAAAAUACAAAUAACAAUCAUCCUUUCUUUCUUAAAUAGCUUUGCUUAAUCUCUUUCGUUCUGUGGAAUUUCCACAGAUCUCACUAGUAUUUUAUUUUUUUUAGUUACUUUUUGUACAAUAUCAAAAUAUUAAAACUAUCCUCUCCAAACAAUAAAUGUGCACAUCUUUAUAUAAUUUUUUGAAGCUAAUGAAGAGCAAUAUGCUGAAGCUAGUGGGCCCAGUUAUUUAGAAUUGAAACCAGCAGACAUGAAGAUUUCUUACGUUAAUGUUUCAAGGAAACCUGAUGAACAAUGUGCUGAGGUUAGCGAGCCGAAAUAUUUAGAAAUGGGACAACGAAACACGGAUGGUACUUACGUUAACGUUUCAAAGAAACCUGCUGGUAAGUAUAUAAGCAAUUUAUUAACA